rnacentral:rRNA from 1 species
AACGAACGCUGGCGGCAUGCCUAACACAUGCAAGUCGAACGAGAUCUUCGGGGUGAGUGGCAGACGGGUGAGUAACGCGUGGGAACGUGCCCUUCAGUUCGGGAUAACCCAGGGAAACUUGGGCUAAUACCGGAUACGUGCGAGAGCAGAAAGAUUUAUCGCUGAAGGAUCGGCCCGCGUCUGAUUAGCUAGUUGGUGGGGUAAUGGCCCACCAAGGCGACGAUCAGUAGCUGGUCUGAGAGGAUGAUCAGCCACAUUGGGACUGAGACACGGCCCAAACUCCUACGGGAGGCAGCAGUGGGGAAUAUUGGACAAUGGGCGCAAGCCUGAUCCAGCCAUGCCGCGUGAGUGAUGAAGGCCUUAGGGUUGUAAAGCUCUUUCGUCCGGGACGAUAAUGACGGUACCGGAAGAAGAAGCCCCGGCUAACUUCGUGCCAGCAGCCGCCGUAA